GGGGCAUUAGCUCAGUUGGGAGAGCGCUUGCAUGGCAUGCAAGAGGUCAGCGGUUCGAACCCGCUAUGCUCCA
rnacentral:tRNA from 2 species